AAAACAUCGCUCUUUGAAAAGGAUACUAAAAUAUAAAGAGUCCUGCCUGCCCAGUGACAAAGGUUAAACGGCCGCGGUAUCUUGACCGUGCAAAGGUAGCAUAAUCAUUUGCCUUUUAAAUGGAGGCUGGUAUGAAUGGCAAGACGGAAGUUUGACUGUCUCUCUUUUAGGAUCUUGAAUUUAUCAUCUUUGUGAAGAGGCGAAGAUAAAGUCGUAGGACGAGAAGACCCUGUCGAGCUUAAGCUAUGGGUUAGGGUUAUAAAGCUUUUGUUUUUAAGCUAAUUAAGAAUAGGUUAAUUUUACUUAAAGGCGAAAAUUAAUUGUUAACAAUUUGUUUUGGUUGGGGCAACCACGGAGAAAACAAACCCUCCGUUAGAAAAUUAAAGAGAAACUUAUUGUUUUAGAAGAUCUAAGAUAAAAGAGUGAUCCACUAAAAAGUGAUCAAAAGAACAAGUUACCGCAGGGAUAACAGCGUAAUUUUUUUGGAGAGUUCAUAUUGAUAAAAAAGUUUGCGACCUCGAUGUUGGAUCGGGACUUCCAGGAGAUGCAGCAGUUUCCAAGGGUUGGUCUGUUCGACCAUUAAAGUCCUACGUGAUCUGAGUUA
rnacentral:rRNA from 1 species